rnacentral:lncRNA from 1 species
AUUGAAUACAUUUGUUUCUUUAAUUGUGAAAGUCCAGUCUUUUUGACAUGCGUACAUUUUCUACAGUAGCAACCACAGUGCACACACACAGUCUUCCAGCCUGCUCUGCUCGCGUGCCUUUCUGUUGUGAGCUUUUUUCCACGUGGCUACGUUGGGGACCUCCGUGAUGCUUCCUGAGUGCUUACUAUGCGCCAAGCGCUGCUUUCACCAUUUUACAGGUUUUCACUCUUUCAAUCGUUCUAAGAAGCUGCGAGGGCCUUCCUUUUAUUAUCCCCAUUUUUCAGAAGAGGAAUCCGAGGCCUUGGGACCUACACCCACCCUCACACCCGGGCCCACGCUCACUUUAAUAACCCGGACUGGGCAAGGACUAAGUCCAGCCAGAGCGUCAGCCUCGCUGGCGUCCUCACUGGCCAUGGCCCUGCAGCCUUGCUCUUCAGUUCCUGGAAGCCUCCUGCCCUUGGUGGACAACCAUUUUGCUCUCUAGCAAAUGGAUAGAAAAGUUUAUGUGAGUCUGGCUGGGCGGGGUGGCUCACACCUGUAAUGCAGCUCGUUGGGUGGCUGAGGCAGGCAGAGCAUUUGAGGUCAGGAGUUCAAGACCAGCCUGGCUGACACCGUGAAACCUUGUCUCUACUAAAAAUACAAAAAUUAGCUGGGUGUGGUGGCGUGCGCCUGUAAUCCCAGCUACUUGGGAGGCUGAGGUAGGAGAAUUACUUGAAUCUGAGAGAUGGAGGCUGCAGUGAGCCGAGAUCAUGCCACUGCACUCCAACCUGGGCGACAGAGUGAAACUCCGUCUCAAAAAAAAAAAAAAAAAGAAAAAAAAAGAAAAGAAAAAAACGUGUAUUUGAGUCUGGGCCCCGGCCUCUGUUGGACUUUGAGUAAAUCUUAAUUUAGCACCCUGAGCUGCAACUCCUUUCUCCUGACCCUGCCACCUGCAUGCGCCAUUCAAGUGGCUGCGCCCCAGGCUGCUCAUCCCUUCCGCCCUGGGUCCCCAUACACAGCAACCCCAUGGGGUUUUUGUCCUGCUCCUUCAUAUUAAUCUGCAUUGGUGACUCCUUUGUCCCAUCUUCCCUCAGCACACAGUAGGGCUGCUGGCAGCAGGUGAGGCCUGGGGCAAGGGCUCAGAGAGGCAAGAUGCCAUUUGGCCAUGCCACCGAGUGAGCAGUUUCUCUUCUUGCCCUCCCAGGUGGCGUGAAGGGGAGAUGGCUGCUUUCUCCUGGGAAGGGAGCAGAUGCCUGGCCCAGGACCAAAUCAAAAGGUCUGAAAAAUGAUAUUCAUUGUCCUAAUGUGUAAAUUUCGACAAUUUGCAAAUUUGUAGAUUCUUUAGAAUAGAACUAACUCAAGCCCUUCAUUCUGCAGCUGAGGCUCACUGCCCCCAGUGGGCAGUGGGUCCAGGGGGUUUCUGAGGACAGGGCAUGACCCAGCCCUGCUGCCCCCAAGAUGGCACCUGGCUUGGAGGGGUGAGGGGCCCUGUUAGUCUGACUUUGAAGAAGACCAGCCUUCCAGACUCGCUUGGUGCCCUGACAGCAGCUUGUGUUUCUUCCUUCAAGAGUCUGCUUAGAGAUAAUAAAGAUCAACACUAUUCCUUAUAACAACACCUCAGUAUCCUGCGAGCUGUACACACCAGAGUUUAUUUAACCACCUUGCUGCUGGCAUGAAAGCCUCAGGAGCCCUGGGCUCCCCCAGUGUUGCCUGGGUCUGACUUUGCCUCAGUGAAAACUGCCUCGAAUUCUUUCUUGCACCGAUGGGCAGAUGGGCAGUGUCGGAGGAUCGUGUCAUCUGUCCCGUGGCGCUGGUUGGCUUGGUCAAGUCAGUGUUCAAACUAUCUCCUGCUCUUUCAAGGGGAUCUGGGGCUCUAGAAGAUUAGAGGACUUGGAGAGGUUAGUGACUUGCUCGAGGUCGGCUAGGAAGCAAGACCCAGGAUUCCAACUCAGGUCUGUGUGAUUCCUCUGCAAAAUGGAGAGGUGGAAGGAUGGAUGUCAGGUCUGAUGGAUGGAUGGAUGCCUACAUCAAGAUACAUGCAUAGAUGGAGAGAUGGCUGGCUACCUCAUGAAUGCUGGACUGUUGUGAGAAUCAAACGAGAUAAUGUAUGCUGAGGCAUGCUGUGAACACUACGUGCUGGGUACAGGAGAAUGGAGGCUCCAGAGUGAAAUUAAUGACACUUUGUCGAUGAAGAUCUUGAUUGUGACCUCUGUGGAAAAUGAGCCAUGAACCAACCAAUAAGCAGGCUUAGUCACCCUUGACACAGUUUGCAGUUAUCCACCUCCUCCAAGUUCUUAAUAUGUUAGAUCCAGAUAACUGCCUUGUACAGCCACCUCCAGGAUACUGCCUCCCUAAAAAACAGCUAGAUACACUGACCCCACAGCCUAUGUGGACCACACAGAUAUAGUGGCUUGCUCUAAAUGCACCAGUGAGAACUCUCUGCAGGAAACCUGCUUGGGAAAUGCCAUAGCCUGCAAUACAGGCUUUCCCCUUCCCGCUGGCCCUGUGAGGCAUGCAGGAUCUAGUGAGUGCACCGCAGGUGAUCAGCUAUUCUGUAAUGAUGAGGGCCGGGCUGCUUUCUCUGUGGGCAAGGAGCAUGGAGGCUGAUGACAGGACAGUCAGGGUCCUUGUUCUUGGUUUGGAUGAUUUGCUCAUGGAUGUUGACUGUAUUAUUUAAAAGAAAUAAAUAGCUCUACAUAUUAAAAUAUUGCAGAACAUGCAUGGACCAAUGAUGAGAAUGUUAUAUGAAUCAGUGUUCAUGAUUAAUCCAAUUCAACACCACUUCUAUUAAGAGUACAGUCAGGCUAUUUUAUUUGUGCUGCUGGCAGUUUAAUAUUCAUAUACAUUUUACAUCACUGUUGAUUUAAACAGUCCUCCAUUGAUAUACACCUAUGCCAUUAACUGCUUAAGAGGGUAUCACAAAGGAAGAUUGAAAGUAAUUAUCAGUAUUCUAUUGGGCAAGAAGAUGGUGGAUUUAUAGUAGCUCAUUGUGUCAUCUUUGAAAUAUAGACAAAUUAAAAGAAAGAGGGCUAAGGAUGGGCCAGUGAUAACUGUGGCAUUGCUAUGUAUGAAGAAUGUUGAUUGAUCCAUUGAUCCAUGUGUGUCAUACUGAGAUGCGUUAUAGGAAGAGAUCUAGUGUAUUAUCUCUGUGGGAAAUUAGAUUAUAGACAUGCACAGUCUAGUAUCAUCAGUGCUAGCCACUGGAGCUACUGUGCACUUGGAAUGUGACUAGUCUAAUCGACAUGUGAUCUACAUGGAAAAAUACACACCGAGUUUAGAAGCCUCAAUAUGAAAAAGGUAAAAUAUUUCUAGAAUUAUUUAUAUUUAUUAAAUGAUAGUAUUUUAGAUAUUGGGCUAAAUAAAAUACACAAUUACAGUUGAUUUCAUCUUUUUCUUUUUACUUUUUAAAUAUUGUAGCUUCUAGAAAAUUUACAAGUAUUCGUGUAGGUGGCAUUAUAUUUUUUAUUGCUCAGCACUGCUAUAAUCCAAUGAGAGGAAUAUUCAAUUUUAUGUUUUUCUAAUCCAUGGGUACUGAUUGUAUUAUUAUUGGCUAAUCAGUGAUGAAUCAAUGACAAGUGAAUAAAUGAAUGAGAAAAAAAUGGGAACAGCACAUGCUAAACAUUAAAGUGUAUACUGCUGAAACAAGGAUUAUUUUCCUUUUUUUUUUUUUUUUUUGAGACAGAGUCUCACUCUGUCACCCAGGCUGGAGUGCAGUGGCGCAGUCACAACUCACCACAGCCUCGACCUCUAGGCUUAAGCAAUCCUCCUGCCUCAGCUUCCCUAGUAGCUGGGACCACAGGCUCAUGUCACCACACCUGGCUAAUUUUUUUGUAUUUUUUGUAGAGAUGAGGUUUCACCAUGUUGCCUAGGCUGGUCUCAAAUUCCUGGGCUCAAGUGAUCCACCCGCCUUGGCCUCCCAAAGUGCAUGAGCCACUGUCUGGCCUAUUAUAAGUAGUUUUUAUUAAGCACCAAAACCCGUAAAAAUAAUGGCUAUGGUUUAAUGGUUAAUUCUUUUAGGUAAGGAUGGUUAGUUUGUUUAGGUAAGGAAGACAUGAAAAGAUCAUGUAAUAAUCGAUGCUGUUCUGUGUUGUUGGUGGUGUCUUGCUAGUCUUCAGUUUUUUGUUUCAAAGAAAAUUACUGACAUUAACAAAUACCUGAUUAUGUAGCUGACUAAAUGGAAGAGGAUCAAGCAUGGCAAGUGCUGAGUGAGGAUUAAUCCAUGUAGGCACUACUGAAAUCCACUGUAAGAGAUACCCAGUCUCUUACCUUCAUAGAUGGGCCUGUAGCAGGGUCUUGAUCUUAACCCUUUUAUGCCUCAUGGUAGUGAUUACAUUAGUAUAGUGUAAGUGAAUCGAUGAGUAAAUCAUUAAACAAAUUGAACAAAUGUAUAAACGAACUUUUUUUUUUUUUUGGAAAGGGAGUCUCACUCUGUCGCCCAGGCUGGAGUGCAAUGGCGCGAUCUCGGCUCACUGCAACCUCCGCUUCCUGGGUUCAAGCGAUUCUCCUGCCUCAGCCUUCUGGGUAGCUGGGAUUACAGGUGCCUACCACCAUGCCCAGCUAAUUUUUGUAUUUUAGUAGAGACGGGGUUUCAUUAUGUAGGUCAAGCUGGUCUCGAACUCGUGACCUCAAAUGAUCUGCCCACCUAGGCCUCCCAAAGUGCUGGGAUUACAGGUGAGCUUAUUAAACAAGUGUGUAAAUGAAUAAAAAAAGAAAGCCAAGCAUGAACCAAUGGAUUAUUAUUAUGUUUUUGAAGCAUUGAAGUCAAUAAAAUACACACAAGCCCAGGGCUGGAUGGUUGCUCUUACUUCUAAGGGAAAGAUUUUUACAUAAAGAAGAAAAUGGAAGAGGACCAGUGUUGAGAAUGUGUCAGGUGAUAAGAAUUAAUAUUAAUCCAGUUCUAGUCAUUGAGUUCAUUGAAUAACAAUGAGAAUGAAGAUCUAGUUGAUUAUCUCUGUGGGUGAUGGGCAGAUUGACAGAUGUUAGUUUUAUUCAGAGUUUUUGAACAGUUUUCUUUGGAUUCUCAGCUAUGGAUUGUAAGGGAAUGAAUGAAUAAGUUUAUGUCACAAUAAGUUAAAAGAGGACAGAUGACAGACCAGUGAUGGUCAUAAAUUUUGAAGCAAGUAUUAGGAUAAUACAUUUCUAUACUGCUGAUGUCCAUGUAAAGGAUAUAAUGUCUGGACUCCUAAAUGCUUAAUGUUCACAGAUGUGUUCUUGUUAUAGUCAGUUUUGGAUGCUGGUAGAUUUAUCCUUCUUAAUUUUCUUUCAAAAGAUAGAUAUGAGAUUAAAUUAACCUAUUACAAAUUAAAUAGUAAAUAAGCAAAUAGAUGAAUACAUAAAGAGGGACAAGAAGGAUUUGUCAAUUAAAUAAAAUUUUAUUUUAUUUUAAGAAUAAAAUAAAACUUAAAAAAAGAAUGAGCAUUGGUGAAAAUGUACCCUGAAACAAAAUUUAAGAUCAAUAUAAUUCUGAACAAGUGGGUUCCACUACAAAACAGAUGGAAGAAAAUAACUUCAUUCAGUUUACAAUUGUUUAAUAUGUCAUUUUUUCACCACUCUUAAUUUACACAUUCUGCCAUUGAUAAAGAUUUAGGUUUCUAAGCUAUUGACAGAGAAAACACAAGUAAGGAAAAAAAUGUUGUCAGGGAAGUAAAACAAGUGGUUCCUUUAUGUUCUUUGUUAAAUGUUUAAAAUUUGAAAAAGUUGAGGAAAGGCUAGAGAAAGAGGGCCCUGCCUGGACCACAUUGAGUGUGGGACUGUAUAAGGAUUUUGGUUGGUCCAUAUGUGUAACAGUGAGAUCCACUGUUGAAGGAGAUUUGGUGGAUUAGCUCUUGGAGAAAUUAGCCUACAUCUAUCAGUUAUAAUAUUCAUAUAUCUUAUUCUUGCUUUGUUGUGAUUCAUGAAUAUUGAUAAAGCAAUUUUUGUCAAUUAAUGAAUUAAAUCAAUAAACAACUGUAUAAAUAAAUAAAAAUGUCUCAAAACUAAACCAAUGGUAAGUACCCUGAGGUGCUUGAAUCAAGGAUUUUGAUUAAACUAUAUGACUCUAGGUCCAUUAUAAAAACAAACCUAAUUUACUGCCUCAGUGGGACAUGAGCUUGUAGCUGCAGUGAGGAAUAUAGGCAUCUCGUGCUUGGGAUUUUGCACAUCUGAUAUGAAUCCUAUUAUUAGUAGUAAAUCAGUGCAUGAGUAAAUAAAGACACAUACCAAUGAAUUCAGCCAAAGAGGGCUGGAUAUGCACCAAUUAUGAGAGUAUUAUUCUAAGUAAAUGAAGGAAGGGAUUAUUUAUUUGCUUAUUUAUUUUUUAUUGACAGAAUGCUUUUUUAUUAUCUAUAGCAUCAAGAACAAUACUUCCUUCAUAGCAAUGACAAAAUAAAACUAUAAUAAUAAAAUAAUAAAAAAUAAUAAAAAUGUUAGCAGUAUAGCUAACAAUUGUUUACUAUAUAUUAAUCACUGAGCAAUUUUUUAAAAAUUUUCUAUUUUUAUUUCAAUAGUUUUGGGGGAACAGGUGGUUUUUGUUUACAUGGGUAAGUUCUUUAGUGGUGAUUUCGGAGAUGUUGGCGCACCUGUCACCUGAGCAGUGUACAGUGUACCCAAUGUGUAGUCUUUUAUUCUUCAUCCCCUACCAGCCUUCGCCCUGAGUCCCCAAAGUUUAUUAUGUCAUUAUUAUGCCUUUACAUCCUCACAGCUUAGCUCCCACUUAUAAGUAAGAACAUACAAUGUUUGGUUUUAUUCCUAAGUUAAUUCACUGAGAAUAAUGGUCUUCAACUCCAUCCAGGUUGCUGCGAAUGCCAUUAUUUUGUUCCUUUUUACGGCUGAGUAGUAUUCCACAGUUU